rnacentral:rRNA from 1 species
GACAGAGGGUGCAAACGUUGCUCGGAAUUACUGGGCGUAAAGGGCGUGUAGGCGGGAAGGCAAGUCGGGCGUGAAAGCCCCAGGCUCAACCUGGGAACUGCACUCGAAACUGCCUUUCUUGAGUGCCGGAGAGGAAAGCGGAAUUCCUGGUGUAGAGGUGAAAUUCGUAGAUAUCAGGAGGAACACCAGUGGGCGAAGGCGGCUUUCUGGACGGUAACUGACGCUGAGACGCGAAAGCGUGGGGAGCAAACAG